GAUGAACGCUAGCUACAGGCUUAACACAUGCAAGUCGAAGGGGAAACGACAUCGAAAGCUUGCUUUUGAUGGGCGUCGACCGGCGCACGGGUGAGUAACGCGUAUCCAACCUGCCCACACUUGGGAUAACCUUGCGAAAGUAAGACUAAUACCCGAUGAUAUCUCUAUAAGACAUCUGAAAGGGAUUAAAGAUUUAUCGGUGAUGGAUGGGGAUGCGUCUGAUUAGCUUGUUGCGGGUAACGGCCCACCAAGGCAACGAUCAGUAGGGGUUCUGAGAGGAAGGUCCCCCACAUUGGAACUGAGACACGGUCCAAACUCCUACGGGAGGCAGCAGUGAGGAAUAUUGGUCAAUGGGCGAGAGCCUGAACCAGCCAAGUAGCGUGCAGGAUGACGGCCCUAUGGGUUGUAAACUGCUUUUAUAAGGGAAUAAAGUGAGUCUCGUGAGACUUUUUGCAUGUACCUUAUGAAUAAGGACCGGCUAAUUCCGUG
rnacentral:rRNA from 1 species